rnacentral:lncRNA from 1 species
CAAUUAUGUUGAACCUCGAAAUGAAUAAAUCCUGAAAUUUUGUUGAUAUCCUUCAGUCCAUAGCGACACCUAUUGAAUACUCUUGAUAUUCUUGGUAUCCUUAAACUAUCAAUUAUUAUUAUACCCUUGAAAGAUUCAAAUGCUAUAACUGCUUGUUCUUCUAGCUAUAUUGCUUGCUGGGCAAACUUGUUGCUCAUUCUUGCUUCCUAAAACAUUACAGUUAAGGCAGAGCAAGGCGGUAUUUCAGUAAAGGACAAGGGAAAGGGCAAGGCGGC